rnacentral:lncRNA from 1 species
GUAAGCUUUCGUUUCUCCCUUCGUGUUUCUUCUCUGUGCUUUCUCCUUGUUCGUUUCAUUAAGUUUCUCUUCUUCUCGGUGUUUUUUGUCUGUAGUUGUUCUUCUCGUACUUCAAAGAUUUGGUUGGAAGAGAAGUCACGGUAGAACUCAAGAACGAUUUGGCCAUCAGAGGAACAUUGCAUUCUGUUGAUCAAUACCUCAACAUCAAGCUCGAAAAUACUCGUGUUGUUGAUCAAGACAAGUACCCUCACAUGGUAUCUCUCUCUAGGGUUUAUUAUUAUCUUUAUAUUUUAGUUUUGGUUUUAUUCUCGUUAGCUGUUUUAUUGUAUGAAUUUUAGGUAGCAGAUGUAGGGUUUUUGAUGUGUUGAAAUUCAAUUUGGGAUUGAGAUUUAAUAGUCUUCGAAUUAGCCAUUGAUUGAUAUUUCUCAAUUCCUAUAUACUUAGGGUUUUUUUUUUUUUUGGAUAAAAUUAUGAUAUAUGGAUAUUUGGUAUUUGUGUAAUUAAGACCUGUGGUGUGAUGCUGAUGUUAGUGGUCUGAGGCAACUCAAUCCAGGAUACCUUUCACCCUCCCUUGUGCAUGUGUUUAGCCAAAUAUGAAAGAAAAAAAAUUAAGGUUUUAAUUUUGUAUUCUUAAAUUGAAAAGUUGUUAUAGUGAGUGUUUGUUGAUCGUCAAGGUGUUUGUGAACUUAGGGAUAAAAGUGGAUUAAAUAUAAUAAGACUGAAUAUUUGUGUACUGGUUUUCUUAUUUAUCGGUUAAUUUUGAAAUAUUAAUUUAGUUCUAGAUCUUGGUUAUGAUGUCGAUAUGAUUUGGAAAUUCAGGAAAAAAAGGAGAACUAUGCUUAGGGGAUUUUUAAAUGCCACUUUUGCAUAAAGCUGAAAAUAAGGAGAACUAUGCUGUUUGCAAUCACUGUUUAUGCAGGACUUUUUCCUUGACCUGCCCAUGACUCAAAUUAUGUUCUUUUUACCAUUCUUCAACUCACUAGUAUUGAUAUUUAGCUCAUGAUCUGCAUCAGGUUUUAGUUUCUGUGUGAUUGAGAGAGGGACGGGGUGCAAGUUUCUUGUUUAAACUCAUCAUGGGUAGUAUAACACUUCAACUGAGAAAAAAAUAAAAAUGUAGAGGAAAAAAAAUAUGAUUAUGUUUGUGAACCUUUCUAUUCUAUAUCCUAACAGAUUACUAUGAUUUGAUUAUAGUGCUAUGCUAAAUUAUCUGGAUUUUAUUUGUAUAUUCUGUAUUUUAGAUAUUAAUCAAAUCCCAAAGGAUGUGGAAAUUUGUUGGUCCUUUGGGUGAAACAUUAAAGAUGAGAUUUUACAUUCCUCACUUUCAUGGUUGAUCUAUCCUUUGUUACUCUUUUUCGAAAUUCCUGUCUGUCUGUUAAUAUGAUAUGGAUGUACAUUGAAUGUGUAUGUCGAAAUAGUUGCCACUGAUCAGUUGCUUUCAUUACUUUGAUCUAUUGUAAAUGUUAUGGCUUAAAGAAUUUAUUCUAGGAGAUGAUAUUUUUUACUUCAUCAACAUUUACAUAGUAGGAGAAAUUUGUGGUUUAGAAUGUGGUUUUUGAGUUAACCACAUUUAAAAUGCCUAGGUAUGCUGCUAUGAUAGGAUGGAUAAAUGAUGAAUUUUUAAGGAUAUCAUUGCAAAAGUUUUACAGAAUUAGCUUCGGCUUUGAGGAACUUAACUAGAGAAUAAACUAAAAUUGAUUCAAAUUUCUCAAUUAAAAUGUAACUUUCUUGAAACCAAUUAAAACUUAAUUUUCUUUUCCGGUAAAUUUUGUGAUAUUUACCUCCCUCAAUUUGAUUGAUCGAACUAGCUUUAGAUUUUAUUUUAUUUUGAUUCUUCAUGUUAAUAUUAGUCAGUAACAUGUUGUUUGGUGUCAGCUUUCUGUAAGGAAUUGCUUCAUCAGAGGAUCGGUGGUUAGAUACGUACAAUUGCCUCCAGAAGGGGUGGACGUUGAACUAUUGCAUGAUGCCACAAGGAGAGAAGCUCGGGGUGGUUGAUUUCGAUAUUCCUGUAAUGUAUCUUUGUAUGAGAAUUCGUUAGGCUCAGUAAUCAUGGAUGUUAUUUUUCCUACCAAAGAAUGAAACUAUUACUAAUGUCAAAGGCUAUGUAACUGAACCAUUGUUCUGUUCUAUUGUGACAAAGUGACACUAGCGUAAUUAGCUUUGCUUUACCCUCCCCCCCUUAUGCAUAUAUUUAUUUCAGUUAUUAUUAUUUUUUCUAUAAAAAAAUAUUUAAUAUAAUAGUUAUUAUUAUUGUUUAAAAUUAUAUACAACCUAUUUAUAAAAAAAAUAAAAAUAUACAUCAACCAAAAAAUUAAUUAAAUUAAAUAAUGAAUAUAGUGGAGGCUUGAGCAAUAGCAUUGAGCAAGGUUAAAUUCCUGAACCCUUUCCGCUUUCACUUUCACUCUUCCUACUUGUUCUUCCUCACGGCCAAAAUGGUAAGCUUUCGUUUCUCCCUUCGUGUUUCUUCUCUGUGCUUUCUCCUUGUUCGUUUCAUUAAGUUUCUCUUCUUCUCGGUGUUUUUUGUCUGUAGUUGUUCUUCUCGUACUUCAAAGAUUUGGUUGGAAGAGAAGUCACGGUAGAACUCAAGAACGAUUUGGCCAUCAGAGGAACAUUGCAUUCUGUUGAUCAAUACCUCAACAUCAAGCUCGAAAAUACUCGUGUUGUUGAUCAAGACAAGUACCCUCACAUGGUAUCUCUCUCUAGGGUUUAUUAUUAUCUUUAUAUUUUAGUUUUGGUUUUAUUCUCGUUAGCUGUUUUAUUGUAUGAAUUUUAGGUAGCAGAUGUAGGGUUUUUGAUGUGUUGAAAUUCAAUUUGGGAUUGAGAUUUAAUAGUCUUCGAAUUAGCCAUUGAUUGAUAUUUCUCAAUUCCUAUAUACUUAGGGUUUUUUUUUUUUUUGGAUAAAAUUAUGAUAUAUGGAUAUUUGGUAUUUGUGUAAUUAAGACCUGUGGUGUGAUGCUGAUGUUAGUGGUCUGAGGCAACUCAAUCCAGGAUACCUUUCACCCUCCCUUGUGCAUGUGUUUAGCCAAAUAUGAAAGAAAAAAAAUUAAGGUUUUAAUUUUGUAUUCUUAAAUUGAAAAGUUGUUAUAGUGAGUGUUUGUUGAUCGUCAAGGUGUUUGUGAACUUAGGGAUAAAAGUGGAUUAAAUAUAAUAAGACUGAAUAUUUGUGUACUGGUUUUCUUAUUUAUCGGUUAAUUUUGAAAUAUUAAUUUAGUUCUAGAUCUUGGUUAUGAUGUCGAUAUGAUUUGGAAAUUCAGGAAAAAAAGGAGAACUAUGCUUAGGGGAUUUUUAAAUGCCACUUUUGCAUAAAGCUGAAAAUAAGGAGAACUAUGCUGUUUGCAAUCACUGUUUAUGCAGGACUUUUUCCUUGACCUGCCCAUGACUCAAAUUAUGUUCUUUUUACCAUUCUUCAACUCACUAGUAUUGAUAUUUAGCUCAUGAUCUGCAUCAGGUUUUAGUUUCUGUGUGAUUGAGAGAGGGACGGGGUGCAAGUUUCUUGUUUAAACUCAUCAUGGGUAGUAUAACACUUCAACUGAGAAAAAAAUAAAAAUGUAGAGGAAAAAAAAUAUGAUUAUGUUUGUGAACCUUUCUAUUCUAUAUCCUAACAGAUUACUAUGAUUUGAUUAUAGUGCUAUGCUAAAUUAUCUGGAUUUUAUUUGUAUAUUCUGUAUUUUAGAUAUUAAUCAAAUCCCAAAGGAUGUGGAAAUUUGUUGGUCCUUUGGGUGAAACAUUAAAGAUGAGAUUUUACAUUCCUCACUUUCAUGGUUGAUCUAUCCUUUGUUACUCUUUUUCGAAAUUCCUGUCUGUCUGUUAAUAUGAUAUGGAUGUACAUUGAAUGUGUAUGUCGAAAUAGUUGCCACUGAUCAGUUGCUUUCAUUACUUUGAUCUAUUGUAAAUGUUAUGGCUUAAAGAAUUUAUUCUAGGAGAUGAUAUUUUUUACUUCAUCAACAUUUACAUAGUAGGAGAAAUUUGUGGUUUAGAAUGUGGUUUUUGAGUUAACCACAUUUAAAAUGCCUAGGUAUGCUGCUAUGAUAGGAUGGAUAAAUGAUGAAUUUUUAAGGAUAUCAUUGCAAAAGUUUUACAGAAUUAGCUUCGGCUUUGAGGAACUUAACUAGAGAAUAAACUAAAAUUGAUUCAAAUUUCUCAAUUAAAAUGUAACUUUCUUGAAACCAAUUAAAACUUAAUUUUCUUUUCCGGUAAAUUUUGUGAUAUUUACCUCCCUCAAUUUGAUUGAUCGAACUAGCUUUAGAUUUUAUUUUAUUUUGAUUCUUCAUGUUAAUAUUAGUCAGUAACAUGUUGUUUG